UACGGGGGGGUAAGCGUUGUUCGGAAUUACUGGGCGUAAAGGGCUCGUAGGCGGCCAACUCAGUCGGACGUGAAAUCCCUCAGCUUAACUGGGGAACUGCGUCCGAUACUGGAUGGCUUGGAUUUGGGAGAGGGAUGCGGAAUUCCAGGUGUAGCGGUGAAAUGCGUAGAUAUCUGGAGGAACACCGGUGGCGAAGGCGGCAUCCUGGACCGGCAUUGACGCUGAGGAGCGAAAGCCAGGGGAGCAAACGGG
rnacentral:rRNA from 1 species